CUUGUAUUUGGUUAAUUUAGCUUAAGUUCAUCUACUCUUUUCUUGUUUUCUCCGUUUGGUUCUAGUUGAUCAGCCUUCACUCUUUCGAUUUUCGGGUUCACUUUUGUGUCAGUCAAUCAGCUCAGAGUUUCUCAGAUUCGAUUUGGGAUUUAGUGUAUUACUGUUUGUUGCAAUAGUUGUUGUUUGGAAGUUGUCAUUUUAAAAAAAUUGAAGUGCCGGGAAGUUGUUUAGUUAUGGUGUGCCAAGCAGCGAGCCAAACAAGAUUUCGGGCAUUGAAACACGAAAAUGGGAUUGAUGGGAGCGCCACCAUAAUUGUUAGAGUAAUAGCAUGCUUUCAACCUCUACAGGAUUGCCAGGCUGAAUAUUUUCGACAUUUGCUGAAACCCGUAACGUAGGAAGAUUGCUGUAUAUUGUGUUCAAGUUGAGCUGGAUAUUUUAGUUUAUUUCAUUCUUGCUGAAAGUGAGACAUAAAUCAACUAUUUCUGUUUGUACAUACGUCCUUCUGGUGGUUGUUUUGGUUGGAUGGGUGAAAAUUUUGGAACCUGGAUUCGUCAGCAGCAUCUUGGCGGGCAACCACCCGAUCCGAAUGCCAUUGUUGCUCCACUUGGCUCGGGGCAACAAAACUUCGUUUCUGCAUAUGGGAAACUAGGCACUAAUACUAUGCCACCAUAUGCAUCUUCCGAGUUGCCUCAUCCACAAGUCGGCAGACCAAAUGAACCUCACGGCUCGUUCUAUUGCUUACCCCGUAUCAGACAGGCCUUCAUGCCUGCCACCGACAAUGGUCUCAAAGAUAGAGUUUCUUCUGCCCAUCACGGAAUUCCUGGGGAGACAUUUGUGCCGAAUGCAGACAGUGCCUUUGAACAGAAGGGACUCCUUGUUAACAAUCCUUGUGGGGAUCAGGCAACUUUGAUCUUUAGUUCUGGGAUAGUGAAUCCCAUGCGGUGCCGUACUUCUUGGAAUCCGUUCCAACAAGGAGCUUAU